rnacentral:rRNA from 1 species
UACGUAGGGUGCGAGCGUUGUCCGGAAUUAUUGGGCGUAAAGAGCUUGUAGGCGGUUUGUCGCGUCUGCUGUGAAAUCUCAAGGCUCAACCCCGAGCCUGCAGUGGAUACGGGCUAGCUAGAGUGCGGUAGGGGAGACUGGAAUUCCUGGUGUAGCGGUGAAAUGCGCAGAUAUCAGGAGGAACACCGGUGGCGAAGGCGGCUCUCUGGUACGUGACUGACGCUGAGACGCGAAAAGCGUGGGGAGCGAACAGG